rnacentral:rRNA from 1 species
GACGAACGCUGGCGGCGUGCUUAACACAUGCAAGUCGAACGAUGAAGCUGGAGCUUGCUCUGGCGGAUUAGUGGCGAACGGGUGAGUAACACGUGAGAAAUCUGCCCUUGACUCUGGGAUAACUGCGGGAAACUGUAGCUAAUACCGGAUACUUUCCCUGGUGGGCAUCCACUGGGGAAGAAAGAAUUUCGGUCAAGGAUGAUCUCGCGGCCUAUCAGCUUGUUGGGGAGGUAAUGGCUCAACAAGGCGACGACGGGUAGCCGGCCUGGGAGGGUGACCGGCCACACUGGGACUGAGACACGGCCCAGACUCCUACGGGAGGCAGCAGUGGGGAAUAUUGCACAAUGGGCGCAAGCCUGAUGCAGCAACGCCGCGUGAGGGAUGAAGGCCUUCGGGUUGUAAACCUCUUUUAGCAGGGAAGAAGCGAAAGUGACGGUACCUGCAGAAAAAGCACCGGCUAACUACGUGCCAGCAGCCGCCGUAA